AUCCAUCAAUUUAUCUACUUGCAAAGGUUUAGUCAAAUGGAAAUCCAUUCCAGCAUCAAAACUCUUGCUUGCUUCCUCAGGCAUUGCAUGGGCUGUCAAUGCAAUAAUUGGAAUAUGAACAUCAUAUUGUUUUUCCUCUAUCCUUAUCAAUCUUGUUGCUUCAUAUCCGUUCAUUAUUGGCAUCUCGCAAUCCAUGAAAAUAUAAUCAUAAGG
rnacentral:misc_RNA from 1 species